GUGUUGUGUGCUACAUAAAAACAUGGUUUGAUUUUACACUGGUCUAAACAAAACAGCAGACGGUCUUAUUGAAAAUGCAAAUUCAUUCUCUUCCAGCAGAUGAUGCUUUCGGAAUGCCAUAAAUAUACCGUCUACCGUCAUACCUUUCAGUUACCAGUGGUAAGGUGUGACCGAAUCCAAUUUCAGCAUACUAAUUAUAUAGGACUUGGGCAGAUGGGAGGGGAAUCUGUUGUGGAUCUGGAUUAAAACAGUCUGACCUAGUUAAGAGGCAUGCCGGUCUGUUGACAUCAUCUACAGAGGAUCAGAAUCUGACUUGUGUUCUGUCAUGAAAGGGUUACAAUGGAAGAGUUGUUUACAGAACAAUCUUU